rnacentral:rRNA from 1 species
CAGCACCCAAAAAGGUGCCUAAAGAAGUCUAGUGCCCGCACGGGCCGAUGAGUGAGGUGAACCGUCAACCGUGAGCAGCGACUAUUAAAGUGUCCCCUGCGUCUGCACUUGCAUCGCGAGCAAGUGCACCUUCGCAGCCAAAAUCGGCACUGGGUGCUCUUCGACACUUUUUGCAUCCACAACACUUCCCCUACCGUCUACAUCAAAAGUGUCACUGCCAACAAGAAUAGGGUUCGACCAAUUGACGUUGAACUGUAAAAAGCGUUUGAAGAGUCACCAUAGGUAGACAAGUCCUUCGUUUAAGAUACCGAGUAGAGUAGGUAGUAAAGACAAGAUAGAGACCAGUUUGAGGUUUGACCCGAUUUAGACGGUAAGAAAAAUCAAGAGUAGAAAAAUCAAGAGUACAAUCAGUUCGAUGAUAAGUCCUCUAAUUCGUUAAAAAAAGACAAAGUUUAAACCUAUCAUUAAAGUGGGUAGAACCAGUAGGUGAAUAAGAAGGACGAUUCUUAUCUUCACAACGAAUAUUGAAACACGAACUGUUCAAAUUCUUAUUUGACGGACGAAUAUUUCGGUUAUACGAAAGAGUACGACGAUCCAACCUUAACUAAGCAAGACAAAAGAGUCGAUAAGGACAAAUAAUAUACCGAUUGUAAAACAAGUGAUUCUUCAAAGAACGAUUCGAGUGACUACAGUCAUCCUUAAAAACCACCUGUCCACAGUCCCUUUUACUAAGUUCGUCCUCAGAAACAGAAGCUCGUACCUUUCUAUAAACGUUAAGAUUUCUUCUUCCACCGGAUCGAUGAGGAAUGAGAGGAUUUAGACGAAAGACCUGGAGACAAAACUUUUACUACGGAUUCAAUUCUCGAGUAAGAAAAAUAGUUAACUGUGUUCCAUUAUAGAGUUAGACCUCAAGAGGAACCACGUGAGAAACCUGAUCGUAAGUACUGAUAGAAUUAUAAGUUGUUGGUUCAAAAUAAAUAGGAAGAAAUCAAUCCCUAGAAACCGAGGGACCGGUUUUUUUAACCUUAUUACCAAAUUAUGUAAAUGAAAAAGUCGUUGGAUACCGAAGUCAGUAACGAGUUUGACUAUAGUAACUACUACUGCCGGGUCUAAAUGAGACAACCUUAGACUGUGGACUACCUUAAACAAGAAGGUUUAGACGAAUAUUCGAAACAAACGUCCUUUAAGUAUGUUUAGGAUCUCUACGCGGAAGACAUAAUAGAGACCUCGAGUUCCUGGAAGAGUUUGACCAGACCUUUGUUUUCGUCGAGUAAGGAUCCCACGUUUGAAAACGUACCUCCGAAGAAUCCUCUCGAAAUGGAUGUCCGAACGCCCGUCCGGCAAAGAGAUUAGUAUAGAGAGGGUUGACAACAUCCACACCGUAAGUUCUCCUACUCAAGGUAAAUAAAAGGGAUACAGGAAAACGUGCUCGAUGAACCAAACUAAGGGGAACCAAGUAAUCCAGCCUACAAAAUCAGGUUCCGGUACGAAGAUACGUAAGGUAAGAGUAACGGAAAGAAGCGUACCCUGUAGGUAUGCCAAGAUAAAGUUUGUAAGAUUUGAAGAACACCACAGAAACCUUCCGAUCUUUACUAAUAGAGAAACUAUCCUUAUUCCGAGGAGGAGUAGUACACGUGGAACGGUGAUUUCGAAACAGAAGACUACGAAUAUAACUAAAUGGAGUGAACAGAGUCUACGUCCACUGUGGUGUUCAUGUUGAAGGAGAACUAGUCGAAGGAUACGUCCCUGCUUGAGAGGCCAGCCUAAACGAACAAAGCCCGGGGUUUUAAAUGAGACUACGUCGAAAGUCUAGAGCCUUUCAAGGAUCAAAUGGUGUUCCUCUUUAACGUUGCCCUCACCCAUAAAUAUAAAGGAACCGAGUUCUAGUUCACUUACACGUCUAAGUUCGAAGACGAGGAGGAUGAUGAAGAGGAGAUGUACGACUUCGAGACCGAGAGAGAAAACAACGAGUUCACCGAUCAUUCGAGUUAUAAGAAGCUGGUUGUAAAGAGUACCUAAAGGAGAGUGAUAGCAGCCACCGACGAUAACCUUCCUAUCAUCUUAGAUGGUGAGGAACCACGUAAUCCUUCGGAAACCGAUGAAAGAAGUUGGUACGAUGGUUAGACAUCGGAGUUCAGAAAGUAUAAAGGUCUCUUUAUUUACCGUAUCGUGUGUUACAUCGAGUUGUCCAAAAUGUAGUUACACAAGUUGGACUUCAAACAACAAAACGAAGUCGAGUAUCCGUAUGAAGUACACGACAACAUAGAGAAGAAAGGUUGAAAGUCCUAGUCCUCAAACAUUAAGUGUGACAUGUAACAAUGACUCGAGUUACUUAAACCGCGAAGCUCGCGGAAAACAACAAGUUUUUUUU